UUGUGUGGAACGGCAACCCGCAAGCGAUGGAGGGAGGCCGGGAGCUGUAGUCAGAGCUGCUAUGAAACAUUUUAGGCUGCUGGCUUCGAGUAAAACACUGCGGCGCAGCGUGGCUACAGGGCAGAAAAACAUUUUAGGCAUCCCGUUGUUAGCCGAAGACUGGCGGGGUUGUAGGGUAUAGUUCAACAACAGCUGCUGCAGAUUGGAGAGCCAUGAUUUAUGGAACAUCCACCCCAGAUUUCCUUCCGUACCAGGGGCCCCUUUGCUGUAGCUCCGGCCCUGGCUGCUGACAAGUGAGAAGUGUCAUGUUUCCUUUGACCUGCUAAAGCUUCCAAUAUGUAAAGGAGGAACAGGUUGUCUGUAUGUGUUUUGCAUAGGUUUACUGCUCACUAAACUUGGUUGCCUGCCAAAAUACUGCCCAGAUGUACAUGCGGGCACAAUAGCACCUUGCACUUACCCUGUGCCUGACUUUUUGGCACUUUUGUUAAAGUUCACAGUUCUCCAAUUUGCUUGCGUAGAAAGCUGGUGUCUUAUCACUUUAAUCUCCGGAAAGGGAAUAGAUCAUUAAUUAUGGAUGAUCAUUUGCAGUCCCCCUUGCACGGUUCUGACAGAGCCAAGCUAUAGCAUGAAAUCUAUCUGGCUUCUUGCCCUGGGGUGCAUUGCAUUCAGCAGUGUGACAAGAGUGCCCCCUGUCAACCAUUUCAUGCAAAACAGCCAGAUGGCGGGGUGGGUUUCCCGCACAGACCCUCUUCUGUGUUAAUUUGGGAUGCUGUACCUUUCAGGAGUUAACUGAAAUCGAGGAAGAGAUAUUCUAAGAAAUUUAUGAAUGAGCUAUUCCUCCUCUUUCACAGAUGUUUCACUAGAAAAGCAGCUCAAGUAGGCAUUUGGGUCUAUAUUUGUUUUUGAAAGAAAGAGGCACACAUGCAGCCUUGGUGUCUGAGCAGCUCUGGGAUUAUCCAGUUUCUCUGCUGCUAUUAAAUACAGAAAAGAUCAGACAGGAUAAAAAAAAAGGCAGGCAGGAUACUUCACUAAGCAUUUCACAAGCCCUGUCUGCAUUUACUUAAGCCAUGCCUACCCACAAUACAAACAGGGUAUUAAGAUGCAAGGUGAUAUUGUGUAGAUGUGGGUGUUGAAAUAGGAUUUUCACUGCGUAGCAGAUACAACAAGGAUGAGACAAAAAUCAAUAUAAAUGUUGUGACUUUUCAGUAUUUUUACAUUUGUAACAUAAAAAGGGUUAUUUAAAUGAUUUCAUUUAAUGCAAAGCAGUGUAGAUUGUAAUCAUUCUGCAUUUAAAGGAUAAUAUACAAUUUUUGUGAGCAUUA